rnacentral:rRNA from 1 species
UACGGAAGGCAGCAGUGGGGAAUAUUGCACAAUGGGCGCAAGCCUGAUGCAGCCAUGCCGCGUGUAUGAAGAAGGCCUUCGGGUUGUAAAGUACUUUCAGUCGUGAGGAAGGUGUUAAGGUUAAUAACCUUAGCAAUUGACGUUAGCGACAGAAGAAGCACCGGCUAACUCCGUGCCAGCAGCCGCGGUAAUACGGAGAGUGCGAGCGUUAAUCGGAAUUACUGGGCGUAAAAGGGCACGCAGGCGGUUAAUUAAGUUGGAUGUGAAAAUCCCCGGGCUUAACCUGGGAAUGGCAUUCAAGACUGGUUAGCUAGAGUCUUGUAGAGGGGGUAGAAUUCCAUGUGUAGCGGUGAAAUGCGUAGAGAUGUGGAGGAAAUACCGGUGGCGAAGGCGGCCCCCUGGGACAAAGACUGACGCUCAUGUGCGAAAGCUGGGGAGCAAACAGGAUUAGGAUACC